AUGAAGAGCUUGGUGCAUAGUGCUUGGCCCAGAAUGAGGGCCAAGUUAGUUUUCACCACGAUUCUUCUGACUGCAUACGAGAUACCUCCGCCUCCUGGGUUCAGGCAAUUCUCCUGCCUCAGCCUCCUGAGUAGCUGGGAUUACAAGUACGCGCCACCAUGCCCAGCUCAUUUUUUGUAUCUUUAGUAGAGACGGGGUUUCACCAUGUUGACCAGGAUGGUCUCAUUCUCUUGACCUCGUGAUCCACCCACCUCGGCCUCCCAAAGUGCUGGGAUUACAGGCUUGAGCCACCGUGCCCGGCCCGCAGGAAAUGAUUCUUUCUAAAAACGGGGAAACAACUUAAAAAAAAAAAAAAAAAAAAAAAAAAAACUCCUUCUUACUCCACAGCCCAGAAAACACAAACAGGACAGAAGGCUUAGCUCAGAUAGAGGGACAGGAAGAAUCUGAACUCCACCCAGAGAAAAGCCUUUUUUAGGUAAGGAAAUAUUUAGGGCCAGGCAUUUUGUAGAUGAUAUCGAAGGGAAGUAAACCUCUUAAGCAAAAAGUGGGUACUUAAAGUGACCCUUUUGAAAGCACGUACACAAACUCUAACCACUUUCUGUGAACUUUAAUAAACAAAUGCUUUCAUACUAAAAGGAGAGAAAAAAAGAAAUAAGAUAAUCUAAUAUGAAAUCAAGACACAGCAAAGGGUACUCUGCAAGCAGAAUACCCAAAGAAACAAAGGAAAGAGGUUGACGGGCAUCCACCGUGUUCAAGGACAAUUUCUAAGCCCCUUAUCUUCAUAUCAUCCUUAAUAUCAGCCCAUAAUAUCAAGGGAAGAAUCAGGGGAGAAGGCCCAAAAGACCCUGGAAAUAUGCCAAGUAUAAAACCCCAGGUCAAAAGGUCAAACCCCAAACUUGACUUUCAAGUCACCUGCUUAGCCCUCUUCCAAAUACAAUUUUCUUCCUUUUGUUCCUGGUCUAAAGCUUUCUAAUAAAUUGUCACUCCUGCCUAAAACAUGCCUUGGUCUCUCCUUCUGCCUUAUGCCAUCACUUGAAUUCUUUCCUCUGAGGAGGCAAAAAGUGAGGCUGCCACAGACCCAUACAGGUGCAGAAUCACCACUGGUAACAUUAGUGCUUAGUUAGGUUCUUUCGGGUUGCAGGGACUAGACACCUCCAAGUUACUUUAUAAUUAUGCUUUUAAAACUUUCCCACCGAAUACCCCUAACAGCUGAACCUACCCACCUGCAGAGGCUCUGGCAGCCAUAAUCUUUUUUCUCUCUCACUUCCUUACCUUUAUUUUCAUAAACAACUUUACUGAGGUGUAAUUUUCACACUGUCAUAUUCU
rnacentral:lncRNA from 1 species